AGUUUGGGGACACGGAGUCGUUGGCCAAACUUGCGCAGGGAUUUCAGUCGGCCGUGUCCGGGUGAGUCUAUGUUGAGAGCGACGUUCCUGAAUGGUAUGGUGGUGAUGCUGGUCUAGACUUGCGGUGCACUACGAGCAUCUUGAGUAUUCGUGAAAAUCCGUUGCACGUCAGUUUGGCCCAAGCAGAGAACGUUGAUUGGCGACGCGUCAGAAAGGUUCCAUUUUGUGACGAUGGGCUGCCUUAGCUAAUCGAUUGAUCAAGAGAAGCUGCAGAAGUUUGUCGCACUGGCUGAAGAGGACAGCAAAAUUCCAAAAUCUGUCUGUAUUGAGGUGAGUUCAGUUUGGUGGGAAAAAAGCUGCCACGACGAGCUUACCCGAAUCCUCGUAGAAAACAAUUCAGGUUUAUCUCUGUUAGUUCGGUCCGGUUGUUGAUUGGUUUCGUUCUGGCACACGACACAUACGUAGAGUAGGUGGCCAAUCCGAGAAGAUUUUGCACGCCAUGCACAGCCAUGCUUCUAUUAAAUACGGAUUACAGGGUACUAGCAGAGAGGACUAGGGUGUAGUUGACUACUUGUACACAACAGAAAUUCAGGAGGAUCGCGAUGAGGUAGGAAGGGAAGGGGGAUGGCCAGGAGAGCGGACGGCGGGGGAAGCACAACCGGGGAAACCAUGGAAGAAGGCCGGCAGCAUGGAGAGCAGGCGAGGUACCAGAGUUCAGAAGAUGGAGGCGGUAGCAGCGACAGAUGCAGCGGCGGCAACGAGAUGAUCUCCGUCCAGUUCAUGCAGAAGGUAUGGCUGAUAAUGCUGUUACAAAAUUAAAGUGCUCCGAGCAUAUCUGCUCUGUUCGUUAUGCUCAGUGUUCACUGUUCAGUACCAUCAGUGAUGCCGUUGCCUACUUGCCUUUGCUUGCUGGUUACCACUAGCUGUCAGUGCUAAAUCCUUCGUGGCGUGGAGGCUGUAAUUUUAGGGGUAGUGAAGCAGUAGUAGCGAUGCAAUGUACAGUAACAGUACUGAUCAGCUGUCAAAGCUCAGCACUGCACAGUAGUAGUGCAAAUUUAAAUUGUACCCCUAGACAAGUUUCCCGACAGAUUUUCAGCACAAUCAACACCGAUCUGGAAGCACAGAGCUGAAAAUAAAUGCGAAUUCACAAUGUACUCUACAUAUGAAUCGAAAUUCGAAUGAGGAUGAAUGAUGUGUUCUUUGAUUGAUGGGUGCAUGGAACGAACGAGAGCAUGCAGAUUGUGGCGGAGGUCCUGGGGACCUACUUCAUCAUCUUCGCUGGGUGCGGCUCCGUGGUGGUGAACCUGAGCACCGAGGGCACGGUGACGUUCCCGGGCAUCUGCGCCGUGUGGGGGCUCGUGGUGAUUGGGCUGAGACGUUCUUAGUUGGGUUUUUUUUUGCCUUGGCGCACUCGCAGGCCCAUUACGGGUGCGUCGAUGAACUCGGCGCGGACCUUGGGCCCAGCGAUCGUGGCAGGCCGGUACAAGAGCAUCUGGGUGUACAUGGUUGGGCCGGUGUGCGGGACGGUGGCGGGAGCGUGGGCCUACAACCUGGUCCGCUUCACCGACAAGCCGCUGCGCGAGAUCAACAAGAGCGGCUCGUUCCUCAGGAGCGCGCGCAUCAUCAAGUAAAAGCAAUACUUAAGCGCGCGUAACCGGUAAUGUUUCCAACGCAGUUGCUGCUAGAAGCAUGAAGCACCCAACAAGAAAACUCUGUACUCUUAUAUCUCUUGUGUUGGCUAAUUUGUGAGUAAAAAUAGUAUCCAGAAUUCAUAUAUAUUGCCCUGGAGCACUGUAUCAUCAUAAGAGAGCGAGCAAUUAUUUUUCUUUUGGAUAUGGAGAAAUAAAUCAGGUACAAAGACUGAGUGCAACUCAUACUAUAGAUGUACAUGCAGCCCGCAGCCCGGUAGCCCAGCACGAAGCCCGUCUUUUUGGUCCGAACCUAGUCCGGCCCGGCCUGUAACUCUUCGGACUCGGGCUGACCCAGCCCGCAUGCUAGUUCCGGGCGUGGGCCGGUGCCUUGGCCCGACGGGCGGCACGGCCCAGCACGAAAGCGAACCGCUGGCCCGUUGCCGGCCCAUCAAGCGAACAGCCGGCUGGCCUAGGCAGCCCACCAUUCCACCAACGGUCGGGAGGGGGGCAUAUAUAAACCCCCCGUGGCCGGCCGUGCCCCUCUCCGCAAACCCUACCGGCCUACCCCAUUCUCCCCACUGCCCGCUGCCUCCUCGCCUCAACAGCUCGACUUCGACUCCUCUGCUCUAGGCUUCUCGCCUCCUCGGCUCCUCCUGUCCCGUCCCGCACCCACAGUCCCGCGUCCCGGCGACGGCCAACAGCGACCGGCAUGCCGCCUCCUCACCUCGACUCCUUCGCUCCCGGCUUACCUCCUCCGCGCCUCCGCCUGACCGCCCCUCUGGCUCCCUGCCUCCCUGGUGCCUUGCCGGCUUGCCACCGGCACCGCCUCCUCGCCUCGAUUUCUCUGCUCCCUCUUCCUCACCUCCUCCCAUCCCGCCUCCCUAUAUCUGGAUCUAGAACCUCUUGAUCCUCUUCUUGUUCUCCUGAUCCUUUUCUUGUUUUCCUGAUCUUGUUCCUAUCGUCCUCUCCGGCUCCGGGCUGUGGCGUCACAGGUAACUGUCUUCUUCUCCUGCUCCGGGCUCCGGCGUCGCAGGUAUUCGUCGCCCGUCGGGUGCUGCGUGUCGUUGAGUGACAGAGCGGUUGAGGCCUGAGAGACGCCCCGGCUGCCGCCUGCCACAGGAGGUCGUCUUGAUGGAUGAGAGCUACACCAUCAACGACAACCUAAGGGCUUGUGGCCUGCCAGGCGACGAUGAGGACGACGUGGCUACUGGAGCCGUGGCACUUUUCGGUAGUUCUGCUGCUCCUGUCAAUGUGGAUGCUGCCGGUGCUGGAGGUUCUGCCCCAUCUUCUACCCCAUCUUCUACCGCGACUACAUCAAUGGGCACAAGUGUCCGCAAGGGGAAGCGGCGAUCUGCUGCCUGGAACGACUUUGAGGAGUUGUUCCAGGAAGACGCCAACGGUAAGAAGGUAAGGUACACUGCCAAGUGUUGUCAUUGUUCUCACAUUCUUACUGGUCGGUCUUGUGCUGGUACUGGGCAUUUGCUCCGGCACCAGAAGAUGUGCUUGGCUAAACAAAACCAUUCUUCUCUUGUUCAGUCGCAACUGCAAUUCAAUUCUGAUAUUGGGAAUACAAGCCUGAUCUUGCUCGUAAAGAAUUGUGCUGGUUGAUUGCUAGACUUGAUCUACCCCUAGGCUUUGGUGAGACAGAGGCAUUUGUGGAGUACAUCUAGCGUGCACAUAACCCUCGUUUUGCUAAAGUUACUAGACAUACUACUUCUAGAGAUAUUACCAAGUACUUUACCUUGCGUCAUGUUUCUCUUAUUGAUACUUUGAAUUCUCAUGUUUCUUCUGUCAGUCUUACUUCUGAUAUUUGGUCUAGCAAUGCUAAGGAGGACUACCUUAGUGUUGUUGCAUAUUUUGUUUCUGCUGAUUGGGAAUUAGAGAAGAGAGUCAUUGCUGUUAGGUUGAUUGAUUGCUCCCGUUCUAGUGUUAACAUUGCUGAGUGUAUUGAACAAGUAGUUUCUGAGUUUGGUUUACAGGAUAAAAUUUUCUCUGUCACACUUGACAAUGCUUCUGCUAAUACUUCUGCCAUGUCCACACUUAUUGCCAAAUUUAUUGGUUAUCUAGGUCCAGAUCCUAAACCUCUUGAUUCUGAUUCUGAUAAAGCACUUGUUGGUCUUUUGCAUCAUCAACGCUGUGCAUGUCAUAUUAUCAAUCUCAUAGUCAAGUCCAGUUUGAAGAGGAUCAAGUCUUAUCUUGAGGCUUUUAGGACUGCAAUCUCUUUUUUGAACUCUUCUAAUCAACGCAUUGCAGCUUUCCAUAACUUCUGCAUUGUCAAGGGGGUACGCCCUCGUAAGUUUGGUUUAGAUAUGGAUGUGAGAUGGAAUUCUACAUAUCUCAUGCUCAAACAUCUACUACCAUAUAAGACUGUCUUUUCUGUCUUUAUUUCUGCUCAUUAUGGUUUGCACAAUGGCCAACCACUUCUGACUAAAAGCCAUUGGGUAAUUGCUGAGAAAAUUUUGCUGUUCCUUGAAAUGUUUUAUGAUUCCACUGUUGCUUUAUCUGGUGUUUACUAUCUAACAAGUCCUUUGAUGUUGCAUCAUAUUAUUGAGAUUGCUGGUCAUUUGCAUGGCUAAGAUUCUGAUCCAUUGCUCAGAAACAUUGUUGUUCCCAUGAAGCUUAAGUUCCUCAAGUAUUAGCAGAACAUACCUCUAUUGUAUUCCUUUUGCAUUCAUUUUGGAUCCUAGAGCCAAGGUGAGAGGUUUUCAUAAUGUUCUCCAACUUCUUUCUCAGACAGUUGCUGUUGAUUACUCUUCUUAUUUCACUGAGGUAAGAAUUGAAUUAUAUAAGUUGUUUAACAAGUAUGAAAACAAGUUUGGUGCAGUUAGGACGCAAAGGUCCUCUCAACCUACAGCUGCUACUGGUAAGAAAAGAACAGCAUGUGGUAAGAUCUUUGGUGGUCCUGGUCCAUCUGGUUCGUGUGGUUCUCCUGUUCUUUCAUCUACACCUCCUAUAUCUCCUGCUUUUGAGCUGUCAUUCUACUUGGACAAUGAUACUAUUACUUGCUAUGAUGAUGACUUCAACAUAUUUAGUUGGUGGCAUGAGCUCAAGCUAUCCUAUCCUAUUCUGUCCAUACUUGCUAAAGAUGUUAUGUCUGUUCCAGUUUUUAUUGUUUCUUCGGAUCUUGUUUUAGUCUAACUGGCAGGGUGAUUGAGGAGCGGCACCGACAGUUGUUGCCGGAGAUGGUGGAGAUGCUGACCUGCCUCAAGGAUUGGGAGUUGGGAGAUGCAAGGGCACAACAUGAUGUUGAGAAGGAGGUCAAUGAACUUGAGAAAACUUACAAAAGUCCCUACCCAGAUCAAGAUGAAGGCCAAGCUAGUCAGCCUACCCCAGGAGCAAGCUGAAUUGCUGGAGGGUUGGAGGAUGAAGCUGAAGCCUGUUGGACUGUUGCUUGUUGGUGUUGGCUUGGCAAGUUGGGUGUUCUAGUUCUAUACUUUUAUAUCUCUGUGUGUGUCUCAAUGUCUGUAAACUGUAAUGUUGAAUUGAACUUGAGUCUUGAGCUGGCUGUACUCGUUUUCCCUUCCUAGGAUUUUCUCACAAGGGUGAGUUUUUACCUAGGAAGGUUUUUAAUGAGGCAGGCAACACUUGAUCACAUAGAUCAAGUGUUAACGGCUCUAAUAAUUCCUUUAUUAUGAAUUUCUGUGUGAUUGUGUGCA